AACGAACGCUGGCGGCAGGCCUAACACAUGCAAGUCGAGCGGACCCUUCGGGGUUAGCGGCGGACGGGUGAGUAACGCGUGGGAAUAUGCCCUUCUCUACGGAAUAGUCCUGGGAAACUGGGGGUAAUACCGUAUACGCCCUUUGGGGGAAAGAUUUAUUGGGGAGGGAUUAGCCCGCGUUGGAUUAGGUUGUUGGUGGGGUAAUGGCCUACUAAGCCGACGAUCCAUAGCUGGUUUGAGAGGAUGAUCCGCCACACUGGGAGUGAGACACGGCCCAGACUCCUACGGGAUGCAGCAGUGGGUAAUCGUAGACCAUGGGGGCAACCCUGAUCGAGCCAUGCCGCGUAAAUGAUGAAGGCCUGAAAGUUGUAAAGCUCUUUCAGCUGGGAAGAUAAUGACGGUACCAGCAGAAGAAGCCCCGGCUAACUCCGUG
rnacentral:rRNA from 1 species